UACGGAGGAUGCAAGCGUUAUCCGGAAUUAUUGGGCGUAAAGCGUCCGCAGGUGGUUUAUCAAGUCUGCUGUCAAAGCGCGAGGCUUAACUUCGUAAAGGCAGUGGAAACUGAUAGACUGGAGUGCGGUAGGGGCAGAGGGAAUUCCCAGUGUAGCGGUGAAAUGCGUAGAUAUUGGGAAGAACACCGGUGGCGAAGGCGGGUCUCUGGGCCGAUACUGACGCUGAGGAGCGAAAGCGUGGGGAGCGAACAGG
rnacentral:rRNA from 1 species